rnacentral:rRNA from 1 species
UACGGGGGGGGCAAGCGUUGCUCGGAAUCACUGGGCGGAAAGGGUGCGUAGGCGGGGCUUUAAGUCAGGGGUGAAAUCCUGGAGCUCAACUCCAGAACUGCCUUUGAUACUGAGGAUCUUGAGUUCGGGAGAGGUGAGUGGAACUGCGAGUGUAGAGGUGAAAUUCGUAGAUAUUCGCAAGAACACCAGUGGCGAAGGCGGCUCACUGGCCCGAUACUGACGCUGAGGCACGAAAGCGUGGGGAGCAAACAGG